GAUCUGANUGGUUUAACGGCUGCGAUUGAAACCGUACUAAGGUAGCAUAAUAAUUUGCCCUUUAAUUGGGGGAGAGAAUGAAUGGUUUGACGGUAAAAAAGCUGUUUUAAAAAUAAAAAAAGAAGUUAACUUUUAAGUGAAAAGGCUUAAGUUUUUAUAAAAGACGAGAAGACCCCGUCGAGCUUAAUUAGAAUAACUUAAAUGUAGGUUAUUUAAAAUUUUAUUGGGGCAAUAGAAAAUGAAAUGAAUCAUUUUUUUUAUUAUAAGGAUCCAGUUUUGACUGAAAAAAGCAAAAGCUACCGCGGGGAUAACAGGGUAAUUUUUUCUGAGAGUUCAUAUUUAAGAAGAAGUUUGCUACCUCGAUGUUGGAUUAGAAUUUCUUUAUGCUUGCAGCAGGUAUAAUAGUAGGACUGUUCGUCCUUUAAAAUUUUACGU
rnacentral:rRNA from 1 species